GCAAGUCGAACGGUAACAGAAGAGAGCUUGCUCUCUUGCUGACGAGUGGCGGACGGGUGAGUAAUACGUAGGAAUCUGUCCUAAAGCGGGGGAUAACCCGAGGAAACUCGGGCUAAUACCGCAUGUGCUCUACGGAGUAAAGCUGGGGAUCCUUCGGGACCUGGCACUUUAGGAGGAGCCUACGUCGGAUUAGCUUGUUGGUGGGGUAAUGGCCUACCAAGGCAACGAUCCGUAGCUGGUCUGAGAGGACGAUC
rnacentral:rRNA from 1 species